UACGAAGGGGGCGAGCGUUGUUCGGAUUUACUGGGCGUAAAGGGCGCGCAGGCGGCGCAUUUUGUCAGGCGUGAAAGCCCCGGGCUUAACCUGGGAACUGCGUUUGAUACGGAUGGGCUAGAGUUCGGGAGAGGAGAGUGGAAUUCCCAAGUGUAGGAGGUGAAAAUUCGUAGAUAUUGGGAAGAACACCGGUGGCGAAAGGCGGCUCUCUGGACCGAGACUGACGCGAUGAGGUGGCGAAAAGCGUGGGGAGCAAACAGG
rnacentral:rRNA from 1 species